rnacentral:lncRNA from 1 species
CACCUAGACAUGCGGCGGGAUGUGCAGGAGAUCUUCCGCCUGACACCACACGAGAAGCAGUGCAUGAUGUUCAGCGCCACCCUGAGCAAGGACAUCCGGCCUGUGUGCAGGAAGUUCAUGCAGGAUCCCAUGGAGGUGUUUGUGGACGACGAGACCAAGCUCACGCUGCACGGCCUGCAGCAGUACUACGUCAAACUCAAAGACAGUGAGAAGAACCGCAAGCUCUUUGAUCUCUUGGAUGUGCUGGAGUUUAACCAGGUGAUAAUCUUCGUCAAGUCAGUGCAGCGCUGCAUGGCCCUGGCCCAGCUCCUCGUGGAGCAGAACUUCCCGGCCAUCGCCAUCCACCGGGGCAUGGCCCAGGAGGAGCGCCUGUCACGCUAUCAGCAGUUCAAGGAUUUCCAGCGGCGGAUCCUGGUGGCCACCAAUCUGUUUGGCCGGGGGAUGGACAUCGAGCGAGUCAACAUCGUCUUUAACUACGACAUGCCUGAGGACUCGGACACCUACCUGCACCGGGUGGCCCGGGCGGGUCGCUUUGGCACCAAAGGCCUAGCCAUCACUUUUGUGUCUGACGAGAAUGAUGCCAAAAUCCUCAAUGACGUCCAGGACCGGUUUGAAGUUAAUGUGGCAGAACUUCCAGAGGAAAUCGACAUCUCCACAUACAUCGAGCAGAGCCGGUAACCACCACGUGCCAGAGCCGCCCACCCGGAGCCGCCCGCAUGCAGCUUCACCUCCCCUUUCCAGGCGCCACUGUUGAGAAGCUAGAGAUUGUAUGAGAAUAAACUUGUUAUUAUGG